rnacentral:rRNA from 1 species
AUGGGGUCCGCGGCGUCGACCGACAGGGCCGAGCGGCGGAGGCGGGACCGGGCGCCGGGGCACAGCGGGGCCCCCGACCCCCUGGCGGCGCUUCCCCAGGAUCCUUCGGUGCGAGCGUCGGCAUCGGAGGCGGAUGUGAGCAGAAACGGGCGUAAGGUGGCGCCAGAGCCCAAGGAUGAGGAAGACACGGAGCCGCUGCCGGGAUCUCCCAGCUUCCGGAUCUACUGCCAGAAGGCGGCCCGGGUCGACGCUCUGGUGGCCGAGGCCGCCGAUGAAAACGCGGACGGCGACCUCGGCGCCGAUGAAAACGCGGAUGGAGACCACGGCGACGAAUUCGCCAGUGCUACCACGUAUACGACUCUGGCGGUCAGGAAGAACGACCCUCCACAAUGCUCCGGCGAGGUAGGCAUCUCAGCAAACUCAGCAUUAGCAAAUGCACCAAUGGCUUACUCUGCUACUCUGAAUCCCUCUGACACGCAACGCAGUUGCCCAAAUGCAAGGAUGGGUGGCUGA